rnacentral:rRNA from 1 species
AUUGAACGCUGGCGGCAUGCCUUACACAUGCAAGUCGAACGGCAGCACGGGAGCAAUCCUGGUGGCGAGUGGCGAACGGGUGAGUAAUAUAUCGGAACGUGCCCAGUCGUGGGGGAUAACGCGGCGAAAGCUGUGCUAAUACCGCAUACGAUCUAAGGAUGAAAGCGGGGGAUCGCAAGACCUCGCGCGAUUGGAGCGGCCGAUAUCAGAUUAGCUAGUUGGUGGGGUAAAGACCCACCAAGGCGACGAUCUGUAGCUGGUCUGAGAGGACGACCAGCCACACUGGAACUGAGACACGGUCCAGACUCCUACGGGAGGCAGCAGUGGGGGAUUUUGGACAAUGGGCGCAAGCCUGAUCCAGCAAUGCCGCGUGCAGGAUGAAGGCCUUCGGGUUGUAAACUGCUUUUGUACGGAACGAAACGGCGAGCUUUAAUACAGUUUGCUAAUGACGGUACCGUAAGAAUAAGCACCGGCUAACUACGUGCCAGCCGCCGCGGUAACAC